CCUACGGGUGGCAGCAGUGAGGAAUAUUGGUCAAUGGGCGCGAGCCUGAACCAGCCAAGUCGCGUGAGGGAGGACGGCCCUACGGGUUGUAAACCUCUUUUGCCGGGGAGCAACGGGCGCCACGUGUGGCGUCACUGAGAGUACCCGGAGAACAAGCAUCGGCUAACUCCGUGCCAGCAGCCGCGGUAAUACGGAGGAUGCGAGCGUUAUCCGGAUUUAUUGGGUUUAAAGGGUGCGUAGGCGGAUCGUUAAGUCAGGGGUAACAUUGUGGGGCUCAACCCCUUACCGACAUUGAACCUGGCUUUCUUGAGUGGGAGAGAAGGAUGCGGAAUGCGUGGUGUAGCGGUGAAAUGCAUAGAGAUCACGCAGAACCCCGAUUGCGAAGGCAGCAUGCCGG
rnacentral:rRNA from 1 species